UACGUAGGGUGCAAGCGUUGUCCGGAAUUAUUGGGCGUAAAGAGCUCGUAGGCGGUUAGUCGCGUCUGCUGUGAAAACUCGGGGCUUAACUCCGGGCCUGCAGUGGGUACGGGCUGACUAGAGUGCGGUAGGGGAGACUGGAAUUCCUGGUGUAGCGGUGAAAUGCGCAGAGAUCAGGAGGAACACCGGUGGCGAAGGCGGGUCUCUGGGCCGUAACUGACGCUGAGGAGCGAAAGCGUGGGGAGCGAACAGG
rnacentral:rRNA from 1 species